UACUGGCUCUCAAAGUCCUGAU
rnacentral:miRNA from 1 species